GAUCGUGGCCUGUGCUGAAGUCUGAUGCUUAACCCACAGCCACCCAGGUGCCCCAAUAUGUUAGUUUAAAAAAAAAUUUUUUUUAUCCUUUAUUCUACAUUUUGAAACACAAGUUUACCUAAUACAUACGGUAUCUUUUAUUUUUUUAGAAGACCAUUGAAAAUAGUUGAGCAAGAAAUGGGAACGAGGAAGUUGAAGUAUACGGGAAAGACCACACUCAUGUAAGUUUCCCUAAAGUGCUUAGAAACGCAAAUAUUAACAAAGCCAAAGCUUAAAUAUAAUUUUACAGGUAUGAGGUUUACCCACUCUAUCGGUAAAGUUCUUUUCCAAGAAGUAGGGUCCUGUUUUUGUUACGAGGCAGUAAAAUAAAUGAAGUGCAUUCGAUUUGUUCUCUCCACGCUUUCUGCAUUUGGGAUCGAGCGAGCCAGAGGUGAGUACCUCUGCGGAGGGAACUGCAUCAGCUCUGCUAGGCAAGGGCGGUCAAAGACUUGGCAGAAAGAAGUGUGGGUAGGUAAAGGCACGCCGGCUCCCCAGCGAGUGCAAAACGGGCUGCAAUAAAUGCCCAAGAGAUGUCACAAAUGUCACAAACAACGCCGUGACCUUGAAACUGUAUGGGAUUUCCCCAUUUCAAAAUGGCUUCAUGUUUAAUCUUGGGAACCACACGACUGAAGCAUCCACCCUCCCCUACGUUCCCUCGUUCUCAGGACACAGAUUAUUAAGCUGAAGCAACGGGGAGGACCGAGGUUAGUUCACAGAGGUCAAGUCCCAAGCACCGACGGGUCGGCAGGGUGGAGACCGCCCUGACGGCGAACGCCAGGAAGCACUUCACUGCUGCCCGGCGGCUUCUGUCAAGUAUGUUCCCAGCAAUUUAAAGGCGUUUCCUUCUCUCUCUCUAGCUUACUAAGGAUUUUGUUAAAGGCACAUAUUUAUCAAUUGCUAUUUCAGUGUCUACUGAGAUGACCAGAGGGUUUUCUCCUUUAACCUGCUGACAUUAAUUCCUUAGCGAUUUCUUAAGAAGCUGCGGUUUUCUUGCAUUUCCAGGACAACACCCAGCGUGGUCACCGUGCGGCGCGUGGCUCCUUUUGCUGAUGCUUACGCAGGGGUUCUGCCCGUAUUUUCAAGGCCAGGCUAAUCAUCGGGUUUCUUCCGUGCCAUCAGCUGGUCUGGGUGUCAGGAUGAAGCUAGCUUCACGGAAUGAGCGUGGAAGCUGCCACCUUUUUCUAUGCCCUAAAAUCACGGUGGUUGCUGCUUGCUUUCGGCCGUAUUUUUGAAUCAGAAUGACAUGCUCAAGUUCACCAGGUGCAGGCCCUGUUUUAUGCAGAAAACUCCCGGUGACAACAACAGCAAAACAAGCGGCAGGGCCCCAAGCGUCUGUGGAUUAUGAGGAUACGGCUACUUUACUACCAAACGAGGCCUGACAUUCUGACCUGACAAGUUAUGCUUUUCCUCCUAAAAAAAAAAAAAAAAAAAAAAAAAAAAAAAAUGGCCCGUUUCUUCCAUAUUUUUGAUCAGCGUAGACAAGGCUGACCAGUCUCGCCGGCAAAGUGAGCUGAAGGUGAGUUCUACAAAGCUAAUAGUUUGGAGGAGGCUGUGAGGGUGAAGAAGGCCAGGGAGGACCCCAGAGGUGGUCUGGGAUCAGGGAGGAGGCAGACGGCGAGGGAAGAAGCAGGCUGGAGAGCCGGCUAAGUGAGAGGAGAGCGCCCCGGCGAGUUACCAAGACCCUGAAAUAACUGAAGAGUCUGUGACAGCUGAAGGGACAAGAGGGAAGCCGGGAGAGAACACGGACACUUCCAAGGGGCUGUCCAAUUCUCGAAGCAUGCCCAAAGUACAGACUGACUGAUCGUGACUGAGCUGCUGGUACUUAUCUACAGCAUCCCUGCGCUGUGUUUAGCUCCCUACUCAGUACUUGUGCUUGGUCCGGCCAUAAAAUACGUUCCAGACAGUUCAUCCGGAUAAAAGAAAAACAUUAACGUGACUGACCUCUGAAUAAAAAAAUUGAAAAGCAGACGCAUAAAGCGACUGCUAUGGGUGAGGCAGUGUUCUCCGUCCUCUGCAUACACAGAACCACCGGGUCCCCUCAACGCUCCCGCGGAGUAACACUCACAGAGGCGCCGAAGAUUCCGGACACUGCUGAACGCCUAUUGUGUGCCGACCACAUCAGGCACGAGGAACAGCAAGACGAACUGUGAAAAGAGGCGCAGAAGGGAUCUGGGGGACGGCCUCGAAGAGGGGGCAAGAUCUGGGUAGAGCCGCGAGGCAUGAGUAACACGGACAGGGCGGAGACAGGGAGGAAGAGAAGGUCUUGCGGUCAAGGUAACGGAACACUCUAAGGCACAGAGACCGUGAGAGGCACGCAGAAAUCAAGAGGCGCGCGCAGCGCAGGGUCUGGCCAACUACACCUGGGAGCCAAAUCCGGCCCGUGUUUACAAAUGAAGGCUCACCGGAGCACGGCCUGUUGGGCUGAGUUUGGGCUUCGGCUGCCUUCCGCCUCACUGCCGCACGGGCGGGCGGAGGAGUCGUGACCGAGCCCGAGCCACAGACCAUCUGGCCCUUUGCAGAAGUGUGCCGAUGUCUGUUCUGGAGCCUUGCUACUCACAGAGGGGUCUAGGAAGCAGCCGCCGCCGCCCCUGCGGGCCUGGCAGAAACGCAGACCCCCAGGUCCCAGCCCAGAGCCCCAGAAUCAGAACCUGCACCUUAAAAAGACGUCUGGCGAUCUCUGGCACAGACAGCCCUCCGAUCACUGGCGUGUACGGCUGGGAGGUGGCGGCGAGGUUGCAAAUGAAGAGAAGCACCCACUUAUCCUAUAUAUAGACGGAAAACACAGGUAAAGAGCUUCCCGCAAAGGAGGAAUCUGAUGGUAAGGAGGGCUGGCGGCAGAACGGGGGCAAGGCCGCUGGCGUCAGAAUCCAGGCAAAAGAUGACCCGGACCCCCGGACCAGGUCACGGUACGGCUUCUCCUUCCUUCCCAGAAGCAAACGGCAUUUGAAGAGACUACUCCGACUUCGCCAGCGCCCCCAAAUUACUUCUCACAAAUACAGUAUUGGUUAUAACUUAUCAGGAAACAGAAAAACACUCGGUAACGAAAAUAUUCAGCAUCACGUGUUUCUGGGCCUGCCAGACGUAUCUCCGUCUAAGCAACGCAUCCGGAGAGCAAGGCAGAAACGACGACAGUCAUGGUUAAGGAGUUUGAAUUUUUUUUAGCUUUAUUUGAGAGACAGCGCGUGAGAACCGUGUGCGCCUGUGUGCGUGCAAGCACGUGUGUGCGAGUGGGGGAGGGGCAGAGAGAGAGCGAGAGAGACAGAGAGAGAGAGACAGAGAGAGAAUCCCAAGCACGGACAGUGCAGAGCCCAAUGCAAGGCUCAAACUCAAGAACCGUGAGAUCACGACCCGAGCUGACAUCGAGAGCUGGAUGGACGCUUCACCGACGGAGCCACCCGCGGGCCCCAAGAAAGUUUACGGAUCAAAUGAGGAUCGAUUCAGCAGCCAUCUGUGAUGAAGGCUGCUAAUACGUAAUUCACAGGAUAUUGAAGGGUGUAAUGGCUUAAACUGUGAGGACCUUCCCCACCCCCGCAAAUAAACGUAAGAUUCUGCUGGAUAUUCAGUUUUUCCAUCCUAUGGAUGAAUAAGCAAUAUAAAGUUCAAAAGAAACAAAGCAGCAUUUUAGACAAGCAUGCCGACGCUAUUUCUUUUUCUAGCUCUGCUAACGGCUUCCGAGCAAGUGCUUAACGUUCUGCCUUGUUAAAAAAAAUCUAGAAAAGUUUGACAGGGUUAUUUGUGGGCUUCAGCCUGCUUUAAUGUAAUGACAGCGAUAUAGAUAAAAAUAGAUGGGCGAAAACAGGAAAUCCCUUUCCUUAGAUGCUUAGGUUUCAUACUUCAUAUUCAUUAUGUCGGCAGAAACAAUGCAAAAGAAACCAGGCCCGUAGAUCUGCUUUGAGAAACGCAACAUAAUUAAAUCAAUAAAUCUCAAGUAAGAAAAAAAAAAAAACCCGUCAAAUCCAUGUCGAGAAGACUUUCCAUGUUAAGGUUUGUUAAUAAAAGCCUAAAAAGUCCAUGAAUUCGGUAUAAUGGUUAAUGGCAUUAAAAAAAAAAAUAGUAACUAACAUGUCCACAGUACUUACUAUGGGUUUACACCGUCCUAAAUACCAUCACACAAAUUAUCUCAUCUAAUCCUCAAAACACCCUGGUAUUAGCUUCAUCUCACAAACGGGGAAAGUAAGGCAGAUGGAGGACCUCAGUGAUUUGUCCCAAGUCACAUGGCUACACGAGAAAUGGAGCUGAGAUGUGAAGCUGGGUCUAUGUCCUUAACCAUAACCGUGCUGUCUUUCUAACGCAUGUGGUCUCCACUUUCCCCUGGCCCACAAGUGAAUCUGCAAAAAGUUUAAACGCAAUAGACUCUUAUUACUGGUAUCAGGGACAGAGAAAACCCCUACGAUACAGACACUCAACAUCUUAACGGAAAGGGAGGCACACCGUAUUGUUCUGUGGACAGUGGCCAAAAUUUGACCCGGGACAGGCAACUGAUGAGUAAUGAGGAGGACUCGAUUUAAGAUACUGGAUUAUUUUUCAGUAGGAGAAAAUGCAAAUUAGGUCCCAGUAAGAUUCUGAAAUGUAUCACGUAACUGCUCGUUAAGAAUAAAUAUGGAUGCAGACUUCUAAUGAUAAUUACUACGCGUGCAUUAUCUUCUAGCAACGUGCUUGUGAAAUGCUGCAGGGAAGCUAAAACAUAAAAUGAAUGCAGGUACAGGCCUAAUACUAUCUGGCUGACAUUCUCAUGUUGGCCGUGCACGCUUAUUUAAGUCAUUGCCUGGCUGUAAAUGAACAAAAGUAUUAAAGUAAAGUUGGCACACGGCACAGCAUCCACAUGGCACAUUCUUUGUUCCAGGAGCUUUAUUCCAUGAAUACUCCUGGGGCAAAGAGAAGUCACUAAAUAAAUAACGCAAGCACACGAGAUAGCGUGGAGUUCUUUCAAAUUAAAUUCCUCAAACUGUCAAGCAUCUCGUACAAAGUUCUUUUCCGACUCUGAGCUCGCCAUAUUCCAUCUCAAAUACUAAUUCUGGCAAAGAACAAGCUUUGCGCCCUUUGCAUUUUAACAGUUUCAAAAUAAAAUCCAGGUGAAAGCUCAUCGCA